GUCCCUUCGGGGACAUCCGAUAAAAUUGGAACGAUACAGAGAAGAUUAGCAUGGCCCCUGCGCAAGGAAUCUUUUCCUUUGUGCCAUCGAUGCCUCUGUUUU